rnacentral:rRNA from 1 species
AGAUGUUUUUCCCUCAUGGUUCAGAAAGAACGCCGGCGGCAGGCUUAACACAUGCAAGUCGAACGGUAACAUUUUACUAGCUUGCUAGUAAGAUGACGAGUGGCGGACGGGUGAGUAAUGCUUGGGAACUUGCCUUUGCCGAGGGGGAUAACAGUUGGAAACGACUGCUAAUACCGCAUAAUGUCUUCGGACCAAACGGGGCUUAGGCUCCGGCGCAAAGAGAGGCCCAAGUGAGAUUAGCUAGUUGGUAAGGUAACGGCUUACCAAGGCGACGAUCUCUAGCUGUUCUGAGAGGAAGAUCAGCCACACUGGGACUGAGACACGGCCCAGACUCCUACGGGAGGCAGCAGUGGGGAAUAUUGCACAAUGGGGGAAACCCUGAUGCAGCCAUGCCGCGUGUGUGAAGAAGGCCUUCGGGUUGUAAAGCACUUUCAGUUGUGAGGAAAAGUUAGUAAAUAAUACCUGGUAACCGUGACGUUAACAACAGAAAAAGCGCCGGCUAAGUCCGUGCCCGCACCCGCGGGGAAAACUCAUG